rnacentral:rRNA from 1 species
UACGAAGGGGGCUAGCGUUGUUCGGAAUGACUGGGCGUAAAGGGCGCGUAGGUGGUUAGUUAAGUCUGGUGUGAAAGUCUAGGGCUCAACCUUAGGAUUGCAUUGGAAACUGGCCGGCUUGAGUGCGAGAGAGGAUCUUGGAAUUGCUUGUGUAGAGGUGAAAUUCGUAGAUAUAAGCAAGAACACCAAAGGCGAAGGCAUGGAUCUGGCUCGUAACUGACACUGAGGCGCGAAAGCGUGGGGAGCAAACAG